rnacentral:tRNA from 4 species
GAAGGCAUCCGUGCCCGGCGGCACGGCUGGGCUUCAAACCCAGUUGGGGGCGUCAGACGUUCCCAGGUAGGUUCGACUCCUGCUGCCUUCCGCCA